AAAGGGCAAGAGGAUGAGCCAUGCUUCAGUGAAUCGCUGAAUUCAUUUGGAUUUCUUCAAAAGCAAAUCCUGCAAGCUUUCCAUGUGCAAGCUGUUUGUUUGAAAAGUGAUACUAAGAGAGAAGGAUGGAGGUGGGAUGGGAAAUGAAGAGACAACGAAGCUAAUGAAGUAUGCGUUAAUGAGCAGAUUAUCAAUGGGGCUCAAUCCCACAGGGGACCUGAGACACUGUAUAGAACACAACAAAGGGACCCACCAAGGGCAACACAGCUGGAGAAUUCACCCUCAUUGACUGGCACUAACUCCCCAGAGUAUCUGCCCUGCAUGUUCACAUUCCCAAGAAACACUGGCAAGCUCAGAGGCUAAGGAAACUGUAAACUUGGCCAGAACUAACUGCAGGUGACUCCACAGUGGGCCAGAGCACCAGUCCCUAUGGUAUAUUAGAGUCAACUACAGAUGCAAUAGAAUUAAAAAGAAAUCACAGCUGCUUCAUGAGAGAAUUGAUUGAGGAGUUUGGAAGUGGCCGAAGUUCAGAAGGAUCUCGUUUCACACGACCAGACAAAACCCUCCAUUUUCCCCGAUGCAUAAUGAAACAGAAAAAGGGGAAAUGUCAAAAGGAGAAGCGAGGAUGUUGGAAUGGGUGGAAGAAGAGAGACUUCUGACAAGGUAGUCGGUGCUAACAGCAUCCCAGCUUUCCCGUCUCGAAUCUCCCCAGGGGCCGGACUGAAGCCAGAGACAGAAAUAAAUUUUUCAGGAAGGAAAAGGAAGUGCUGUUGGAAUGAACAGUCUCCAAAGCAUUAGGGGUAAUGAAAUAUUGGGAGAAAACCUGACUUUGAAAGCGUAACCCUUUAGUAGACGCCUCUGUCCCACCGCCUCCGUGACCACAGUCUUCCCUCUACUCGCAUGGAAACCAGCCAAGAGAAACCAUCUGAACACGAUGCCCUUUGAUGUUUUCAUAGUCCGAUUCUUCAACACACAUCCUCACACAAGCAGGCACCAAGGAUUCCAAAAAAGAAGCCCCGAAUUUGUUUCAAUUUUCUCAGCUGCUCUGUGACUCCGCCAUGACCUCAGCAGGAAGAUUUUUCCAGACGUGGGACAGAAAGUCCCAAAAGAAUAGGGAAAGCAUCGCUUCGGAGAAUGUUUUGAGAAUGGCUGAAGCACUGCACUGAGCACCUACCAUCUUCUUAUCCUCCUUCCCCACUCCGCACACAGAGGCCCUGCCUUGUCACAGGUUCCAUGAGAAGUGGAGGUCAAGAGCCAGGAGCAUGGUGCCCGAUCCCAGGGGCAACAGUUCACAUGGCUCUGGCAUCUGUGGCACUGUUGGCUGUGGGUGUAAGAGGGCUGCCGCCAAGGGAGUGAUACUGAGGAAUGACGCCCACAAACUUCAGGCCCCGACUUGCAGCUUCCUGGACCUGGGAGGCCAACAAAACAAAAGCAAGAGCGUGAAUGGGAUGGUCUACGGAAGGAUGCCUGCAGCACCCAUGCACCUCACCGAGGCCUCUGAGCUACUUCACCGUGAACAGGAAGAAUAGCAGAGGCCCCAUGUCAUCAAGGCAGGCAGUGCCUGCACCCUUUGCCCUGGCCUGUUGGGGACAUGCAGACUUGGUGUGUUCACUACAUUGCCCAAUGGAAAAAUGAAGCUUUGGGAAAGGGUUGGGAUCACCUCUCCUUGAAAUGAUUAUGGUCCCCAUUUGUUUUGUUUUGUUGUUUUGUUUUAAACAGGUUCUAAAAGGAUACGCUCAAAUAAACAGGAUUUGGAAGAAGCUCA